UCUGGUUGAUCCUGCCAGUAGUGAUAUGCUUGUUUCAAAGAUUAAGCCAUGCAUGUCUAAGUAUAAGCGAACUUAUACAGUGAAACUGCGGAUGGCUCACUAUAACAGUUUGAAUUUAUUUGAUGAAUGUAUGAGAAUACUACUUGGAUAACCGUAGUAAUUCUAGAGCUAAUACAUGCAACGACGCCCGACCGUUUCACUACGGAAGGGCUGUAUUUAUUGGAUACCAAAACCAUCCUUCCCUCGGGAAGUUUUGUUUGAUGAUUCACAAUAACUGAUCGGAUCGCCACUGUGGUGGCGACAGGUCAUUCAACAUUCUGCCCUAUCAGCUUUCGAUGGUUGUGUAGUGGACAACCAUGGCCAUAACGGGUAACGGAGAAUCAGGGUUCGAUUCCGGAGAAGGAGCUUGAGAAUUGGCUACUACAUCUAAGGAAGGCAGCAGGCGCGCAAAUUACCCAAUCCCGAUUCGGGGAGGUAGUGACAAAAAAUAACAAUACCGGGCCUUUUUGGGCUUGGUAAUUGGAAUGAGGGAGAGUUAAACGGACCAUCGAGUAUCCAUUGGAGGGCAAGUCUGGUGCCAGCAGCUGCGGUAAUACCAGCUCCAAUAGCGUAUAUUAAAGUUGUUGCAGUUAAAAAGCUCGUAGUUGGACUUGUGUGCGCUGUCCGCGGGUGGCCUGCGCCCAAAAGGGCGUUUCGGUUCGGCCCCGGUGGCGCCUUGAAAUCUGCAGCUGGGGGGACGUUGGCCUUAACUGGUCGGCGACCGCACGCCGGCUGCUCGGUUACUGUGAGAAAAUUAGAGUGUUCAAGGCAGGCAUUGGGUGCAAUUGAGUACAUUAGCAUGGAAUAAUAAAAUAUGGCUCCUGCCGUAUUUUGUUGGUUUUGACUGGUGGGAGUAAUGAUUGAUAGGGACGGUUGGGGGUGCUAGUAUUGAGCGGCCAGAGGUGAAAUUCAUGGAUUCGCUCAAGACUAACUUAUGCGAAAGCAUUCACCAAGGACGUCCUCUUUAAUCAAGAACGAAAGUUGGGGGAUCGAAGACGAUCAGAUACCGUCGUAGUCUCAACCAUAAACUAUGUCGACUUGGGAUCGGCGGUAGUUUUUUCAUUAAGACACUGUCGGGACCACGGGAGAAAUCAAAGUGUCUGGACUCUGGGGGAAGUAUGGUCGCAAGGCUGAAACUUGAAGGAAUUGACGGAAGGGCACCACCAGGAGUGGAGCCUGCGGCUUAAUUUGACCCAACACGGGGAAACUUACCAGGUCCAGAGAUGUAGAGGAUUGACAGAUUGAAGCUCUUUCUUGAUCACUUCGGUGGUGGUGCAUGGCCGGUCUUAGUUGGUGGAGUGAUUUGCC
rnacentral:rRNA from 1 species